GAGGAAUAUUGGUCAAUGGGCGAGAGCCUGAACCAGCCAAGUAGCGUGCAGGAUGACGGCCCUAUGGGUUGUAAACUGCUUUUGUAUGGGGAUAAAGUCAAUCACGUGUGAUUGUUUGCAGGUACCAUACGAAUAAGGACCGGCUAAUUCCGUGCCAGCAGCCGCGGUAAUACGGAAGGUCCGGGCGUUAUCCGGAUUUAUUGGGUUUAAAGGGAGCGUAGGCUGGAGAUUAAGUGUGUUGUGAAAUGUAGACGCUCAACGUCUGACUUGCAGCGCAUACUGGUUUCCUUGAGUACGCACAACGUUGGCGGAAUUCGUCGUGUAGCGGUGAAAUGCUUAGAUAUGACGAAGAACUCCGAUUGCGAAGGCAGCUGACGGGAGCGCAACUGACGCUGAAGCUCGAAGGUGCGGGUGUCGAACAGGAUUAGAUACCCUGGUAGUCCGCACAGUAAACGAUGGAUGCCCGCUGUUGGUACUUGGUAUCAGCGGCUAAGCGAAAGCAUUAAGCAUCCCACCUGGGGAGUACGCCGGCAACGGUG
rnacentral:rRNA from 1 species